AUCCUUUCCUUUCGGCAACUAUUAUAGUAGAAUCUCUUGGUAUACUUAUCUGUGAAGUCAACUGGGUGGAUUCUAAAUGCGAUGUAGAAUUCACCUUACACACAGUGGAUUCAGUUCAUUGAAAGGCUUAUAUGACUACCAAUAGCUGCAUUUGUCAUUAGAAGAUCAUUUUGUUUUGCUUUUCACAGGAUGCGAAAUUAAUUGUCUGGAUGAUUUCUAGCUUUACAUCAGUUUUUCAAAUCCCACUAUAAAUUGUAUAGUUGUACCUGAAAGAUAAAAUGUUGAAAUGAACUGGUUUACCCCUUUUGAAGAUGACAGAAUUAACCUCAAGCAUCUCCUUCGAAAUUGAUUUUGGUCUCUCUAGUCCAACUGGGUAUAUCUCCCUGAUGAUGUUUGUGCUCAUCAUUGUUUGUAGAUUUUGCCCUACAAUAUAGUUAUAGAUCUGGAACAUGCAUUUGUUGGCUGGUCAGCGUUUUGGAGAAAUAGUUGGAAGGUCAUAUCGCAUGGAUCCAGAGAUGCUAGCAGGGUGAGGGACCAGAUGUUGAUGCAUCUAGGACAGGCACUGCGUUUUUUGGGCUGGCAACUACUUUCUUUCAAAUUGAUUAAUUUUCUUUGCCAAGAACUGGAGAAAGAAUUGCAAGGCCAGUGGUGGGGCAACGUAAAUAUUGACGGGGAUCCUUGGCCAAACCAUUGUGGAGAGGAUGGGCGUUGUCCUUAUUAACCAUCUGAAAAAUCCUUGAAAAUAGAGGCAGAUGGUUAGGCAAUGACUCACUCCACUGGUAGAUGGUGUCUAGAAGCACUUUGACUGCAUUAGCUAAUGGGGGAGCAGCACCAAAAAAUUAAGUAGACUUGACUUGAGGCUGAGGGUCGAAGCCUCCUCGUCGAAGUAAAAUAGGUGGCUAUCUAUCACAGGCUGGUUCAUUGAAAGAAACUGGUCAAUAUCGAUUAUCUUUGGGCACGGUUGGGGAUUGAUGAUGGAACAGCCUAUUUAUUUUUUUUCGCCUACUUUGCAAAAUUGUUUGAUAUCGGUCUUCAGUCCUAUUGUAUACUGAUAAUUUUUUAUCAGGGGACAUGGUAAAAUGUGUUCUCUUUUUUCCCUCUUUAA